UCAUGGAAUGUUUCACAGUUUCUUAGUGCA
rnacentral:piRNA from 1 species